rnacentral:rRNA from 1 species
AUCUUAAUGAGAGUUUGAUCCUGGCUCAGGACGAACGCUGGCGGCGUGCCUAAUACAUGCAAGUAGAACGCUGAGGACUGGUGCUUGCACCGGUCCAAGGAGUUGCGAACGGGUGAGUAACGCGUAGGUAACCUACCUCAURGCGGGGGAUAACUAUUGGAAACGAUAGCUAAUACCGCAUAAAAGUGUUUAACCCAUGUUAAACAUUUAAAAGGUGCAACUGCAUCACUAUGAGAUGGACAUGCGUUGUAUUAGCUAGUUGGUGAGGUAGCGGCUCACCACGGCGACGAUACAUAGCCGACCGGAGCGGGUGAUCGGCCACACUGGGACUGAGACACGGCCCAGACUCCCACGGGAGGCAGCGGUAGGGAAUCUUCGGCAAUGGACGG